AGCUUUGUGCGUUGGUAAUAUCAUAGCCAAUGAGGUUUAUUCAAGGCUAAUUGCUAAUUGAAAACUUUUCUCAGUACCCUACCAUGACGACUUGCAGUAUAGUCAACACUGGCAAUUUUUGAUGGUCUCUAUAGAGA